rnacentral:misc_RNA from 1 species
GUCAAGUGAGACAGGAAUCUCUUAAACAGAUGUCCAUAAGAAAACUGCCUCUGGUUUCUUGCUUCCAUAUCAAACGGUUUGAGCAUUCUGUGAUUAAGAAAAUGUCGAGGAAGGUUGAUCACUACCUACAGUUCCCUUUUUCAUUGGACAUGUCGCCUUACCUCUCUUCAUCUAUCUUGAGGAGUCGAUUUGGAAAUAGAAUCUUCCCCUUUGAAGGGGAUGACCAAGACACAUCCUGUGA